UGCUGGGAUGUGAGGGCAGGUGAUCUGGCUGCGACCUCUGUCACCACACUGAUCGCCAGGGUUGAUUGGGCUGAGCUGGCUGGCCGGGCGGGGGUCCCCUUCCUCCCUCACCGCGCCAUGUGCGUCCCUCCCGAAGCUGCGCUCUCAGUCGAAGAGGACAACCACCCCGAUAGAGGAGGACCGUUUCCUCGGUCAAGGGUAUACAAGUAGCUGCGCUACCCUGCUAGAACCUCCAAACAAGCUCUUAAGAAUCAAGACGCUGGCAAGUUGUACAGACGGGAACUGGGAGGGUGUGACUAGAUCCAGGGAGUCUGGAGGAAGUGAGCAGCGAUUCAGGCACGAGGGUCACAGGAAACCAAUAAAGAGCAAGUGCUGAGGAGGAGGGGCCCCGUGUUCCAGGCUGGAGAAUGAACAUCAGUUACUCCCCUCUGCUUCUGAAGGGACUUCUUCAAUUACAGAGGCCAGGAGGCACCUCGCCCCAGUGACCCGUCCCCAGGGGAGGCGACCAAGCUGUCAGUGAUCUCAAAGGCUCCCGGAUUUUGGAAGCGCCGUAGGAAAUGCACAUAAGGGUUGCGUGCCUCCAGUGGAGGUGACAGCCGAGGUGAGGGGCGGUGAAUGGGUCAACUAGGGAUUUACCAAAUCCCAGAUAUUUUAUAUCCUAAAACAGCUCACAAAUUUGUCUCUUCCUCUCCAUUUCCAAAGACAGUUUUACUCUGAAAACAACCUCUCUAAAAUGAUCUUGACUGCCUCAAGUCUCUGCCUCCGUCAACCACUACUUCCUUUCCCAACGCUUCCCCGAUUGAUGGGCUGUUGUCCUGUUAGGUGCUCCGUCACCCACAGGCACACUCCCAGCCUGGGCCCCCGGCCCCGUCCCACUGCCUGUCCGGAUCCACCCUCCCCUGCACUCCGGGGACUCACCCACCCACCUGCUACCUGUGUCUGCCUGC